UACGUAGGGUGCGAGCGUUAAUCGGAAUUACUGGGCGUAAAGGGUGCGCAGGUGGUUUAUCAAGCCAGAUGUGAAAUCCCCGGGCUUAACCUGGGAAUGGCAUUUGGGACUGAUAGACUAGAGUACGGCAGAGGGGGGUAGAAUUCCACGUGUAGCAGUGAAAUGCGUAGAGAUGUGGAGGAAUACCGAUGGCGAAGGCAGCCCGCUGGGUUGAUACUGACACUCAAGCACGAAAGCGCGGGUAGCAAACAGG
rnacentral:rRNA from 1 species